AACGUGGAUUGCGACUGGAAUUCAGGGAGCAGCGCUUGCUUCUCUGUCUGGAGCUUUUCUGCCCCAUUUGUUUGUCUACAUGACAGAGCCUAGCAAGUUGGAUUGGGUGGCCACCAGUGACCCCUGUGCUGACCCAGCAUGUGACUUCAGUGAGCUGAUGCAGCGGUGGACUAUCUCUGAGCUGGAUUUUCCGAGAUGGACUCCUUCCUUUUCACCGAUUUCCCCGUGGCAUUGUGCUCUGCAGCACAGUGGGUGACAGCAGCCAGGAGAGCCUGGGUCCAGACAGCUUUGCAGCCCUCCCCAUUUCCCUCCUGCUGAGCAAGUCCAUGCAAACAAUUUCACGUUUAAGCCUUUAAAGUUGCUUUAAAAAAAUCAUUUUGAUGAAAAGUGUGCAAUUUUAAGCUGUUGAAUAACAAAUAAUCCUGUGAUUUAUGACACUCAAUUUACAUAAAUUUCAGCAGCUUUUAAUACAUGACGAUUCCUUCAAA